GAAGAGACCUCUCCCAGCCCCACAGGAGGCACUGAGUUGACACCUCCCAUGUCCUGACUUGUUGGUUGUCUCGGGGCUGUCAGACUGAGACCCGAUCCGAUGCACCUCGGUGCCCAGGCGCCCAGCUCUGUGCCAGCCACAGAGGAUGCGAAGGAGACGCACUGUGAUCUCCAGGGGAACGGGCCAGGCCAGGCACAAGGCGGUGUCUGAAGUCAGGCCUGCAGCGGCUGCGGUGAGCACAGGGCGUCCGGCAGGUGGCGCCGCAGACCGGAGCCCGGUGGCCGUCUGCCGCCUCUCCACUUCCUUCCGCCCGGGCUCUGCACGCACCGUGUGCCCAGGGCGCAGAUCGGCUCGGGACCCGGCCGGGCCGGGCGCCAUGGUUCUUCCUGGGCCCCGGGCCCGCGGCCUGGUGGCGGCUGCCAGGGCAGCCCAGGGCCGCCGAGUGGGCAGCGCCGAGGGGUCCCCGAGAGGCGACCCCGCCAGCAGGCGCGCGGCGCUCUACGUGCACUGGCCGUACUGUGAAAAGCGCUGCAGUUACUGCAACUUCAACAAGUACGUGGCGCGCGGCGGCGUGGAUGAGGCCGCCCUGCGGCGCUGCUUGGUGACGGAGGCGCACACGCUGCUUGCGCUCGGCGGGGUGCACAGGGUGGACUCUGUAUUCUUUGGUGGAGGCACCCCCAGUCUGGCCAGUCCCCACACCGUGGCCGCCCUCCUGGAGGCAGUGGCACAGGUGGCCCACCUGCCUGCUGACUCAGAAGUCACCUUGGAGGUGAAUCCCACUUCCGCCCCUGGCUCCAGGCUGGCGGAGUUCGGGGCGGCGGGAGUCAACAGGUUGUCCAUUGGCCUCCAGUCCCUGGACGACGCGGAGCUGCAGCUGCUGGGGCGCACGCACUCGGCCCGGGACGCCCUGCGCACGCUGGCGGCGGCGCGGCGCCUCUUUCCAGGCCGCGUGUCGGUGGACUUGAUGCUCGGGCUGCCGGGGCAGCAGCUAGGGCCGUGGCUCGGGCAGCUGCGGGAGCUGCUGCGCCACUGCGACGACCACCUGUCCCUGUAUCAGCUGUCCCUGGAGCGCGGCACGGCACUCUUCGCCCAGGUGCAGCGCGGAGCCGUCCCGGCCCCCGACCCCGAGCUGGCAGCGGAGAUGUACGCGGAGGGGCGCGCGCUGCUGCGGACCGCAGGCUUCCGCCAGUACGAGGUCUCCAACUUUGCGCGCCGUGGGGCGCUCAGCACCCACAAUUGGACUUACUGGCAGUGCGGUCAGUACCUUGGCGUGGGGCCUGGCUGGAGGAGGUCUUGGCCAUGGGGCUGCGCACAGAUGUGGGGAUCACGCACCAGCACUGGCGGCAGUUUGAGUCCCAGCUGACCCUGUGGGAUGUGUUUGGAGCAAGUGAGGAGGUGAAGAGGCUACAGGAGCAGGGCCUCCUGCUGCUGGACCACAGGGGUCUCCGGUGUUCAUGGGAAGGCCUGGCUGUGCUGGAUUCCCUGUUGCUGACCCUUCUGCCCCGACUCCAAGAGGUGUGGUGGCAGAGGAGCCCCCCACCAGUGCCAGGAGGGUGACCAAGUGUCUCUGCAUCCCAGGACAGUGCCAGGCGGAUGUAGGGGCUUACGUAGCCCUGGGGAUGUCGCUGCUAUGCUGUGGGGUCCGUUCUGAGGGGCAGCAGCUUGGCCCAGCACCCCCAAGGGCACGGCCAUGAUGAGGUGGACUGGAGUCUCACGUGGUCUGGGUGCUGGCAUCCCAUCCAGUGACUUGGGACUCACAGAGCAACCUGUGCUGCAGGCCUGGGAACUGCUUGUCACCGCCAGCUUCUACUGACCUUUUGGUACCUAGUACUAGCCAGAGUUUGGAACUUAUAAUUUAAAAAAAAUUUUUAUUGGUACGUGUUUAAAGCCCAUAAUGAUCACAUUCAUGGUGGGGAGCAGGGACAGGUACACAGCACUUCUUAAUUCACCUUGGUCCCCCUCACACUUUGCAAAAGCUCUGUCUUCCCAUUUCCUAAUUUUUGGUUUUGGGAGUCAAACUCAGGGCCUCACACUUGCCAGGCAGGCACAGUAACACUGAGCUACACCCCAGCCCCUAGGCAGCAUCUUUUAUUUGUUCUUUAGUGGCAGUCUCUCUGAAGGGAGUUGCCUUGCUCUGCAGUGAGGUCCUCAGACAGAUGUGGGUCAGGAAAAGCAAGUUCCCUCCAGGUAUCUGAAGCAGGAAGGGAUUUAAUCACAGAAUGAGGUAGUUCGGAAACUAUUGCAUUUUUCCAUAGUCAAAACAACUCUUUGCCUGUAAAUGUCAACAUUCUGGGUGUGUCUGAUUGUUUCCUGAAACAAUAUUCAACUUGGCUAUUUUUAGCAAGCACUAGACAGAGAUGUUUUGUAAUUCAAGGUCUGAGCCACUAUCAGUCAUGCUAAUUUUGCAGGGGCUUGGUGGAGCCUGCCUGGCAUUGAAGUACUCAGGAAGCUGAGGCAGGAGGAUCACUCAAGGCCAGCCUGAACUACAUAGGGAGACCUUGUUUUAAAAAUGUAACAAAUAAUGCGAGUUUUGAUCACUUGAUUAAGGCAGUGGGUGCUGUGUGUCCCUGACUUUUUUCCCUUGAAAUUAAUUAGCUUAUCAGUUAAUCACCUGCCAGCUGAUACUGGGAGACCAGACAGGUAUCCCAUUCCUCAGCAUCACCUUGCCCAGUGAUUCAGGCAUUUGUUGGUGAUGCUCAAAUCAGUUCUUAAAUUGGGGGUUGCAGUAGGAUCUGAAAUUUGAGUGGCUCCUAGGCAACUUAGUGAGACCCUGUCUCAAACUUUAAAAAGACAUAAAAAGACCGGGUAUGACGGUACACGCCUGCAAUCCGGCUUGUAGGCGGCUAAGGCAGGAGGCUGGCUGUGCGUUCCAGGCCAGCCUGAACUGUGUAGUGAGACGCUAUCUCAAAACCCCAGAGAAACCCGGGAUUUAGCUAGCAGCACCGCCCCUGCCUGGCAAGCAUGAGGUUGGUGAGUUUGAUUCCUGGUACCAAAAAAAGAAAGAAAGAAAGAAAGAAAUUAAAGGGCUGGAUGUAGGUCAGUGGCAGAGUACCCCUGGGUUCAGUCCCCAGUGACAGAAUUAAAGAGAAAAAGAAGAAAGAAAGGAAUCUUCUGUUUCAUGAAGGCCCAGUUCUGUGUGUGCCCGUGUGUGUGGUGGCGAGGCCGCUUUCUAGGCAGAAGCUCUGUGACCCUAAUUCCUUACUGUUUCAAAGGGUGCCAAGGUGCCAGGCCCCUGCCAGUGUGCAGCUCAGCCUCCAGCAGGUGACAGAUGACAAGGCCCCAGGUCCCCGCCCCUGGGGUGAGCACGUGUCUCUCCCCCGUGCCUGGUGGUGUGACUGUUGGUCCUGCCCUGACACCGUGGUAACACGGUACGUGUUACUCCCUCUCCCUUAGUCAUGAAAUAUUCAGCCCUGUGCACACAGAGAGGAAGAGACCUGUGCCAGCCUCAAGGAGGUCCCUGCCAAUGGCUGGGUAGGGAAGGAGAGCGACUCGGGCCUGUGUGAUACAUGGUCGCCACAGGAGCCUGGGCCACAUUUGGAUUUGGGGGUGCUGAGAUCUGUUCACCUACCACCUCCCAUGCCCCCAGUGGCCCUGGCCCUGGACAGCUCACGGACUGACUGCCCAGGAUACUUUGUCCCGAGCCUUCCCCUGAUCUUGAUACCCAAGAAGUGAGCUUGGGCCAGAACAGUGCUCUGUUAGAUGACCCAGGCCCACUCCGGUUUCUCCCCGCUGCCAGGGCUCGUGCCACCUGAGAUGGCCCUCAUCGCUCGGCCUACUCAUAGGGCAAUGUGGAGGGCUGGGUGGGAGCCAGGCCAAAGUUGGGGUGGCACUGAUCACCUUGUGACUCAGCCCAGAUCCGCCCUCACUUGAUGCAUCAGGAUGAGACGGGAGGAUGUGGAGGCCCGGAAUCCGGUUGUUAAACAUGCCCCAAAUGUCCCAGUGACCCGUCCGGUUUUGGGAGCCCUGAGUAGUGCCAUGUCCUGCCCAUCAUGUUGAGAUGGCGGGGUCUGGAGGAGAGUAGGUCAUGGCUUCUUCCAGACACAGUGGUGGCAUGGGAGUCACAGAAGGAAUUGGGGUCCUUCUCUGCAUCUCAGCCCUAGUCUCACUCCUGCACUAAUGCAGUUUUUCUCCUCUGUACUGGGACUUUGUUGUCAUCUUCUCCCUCUUACCCUACAGAGGAAAAAACCAGGCGUGAUGGCUCACGCCUAUAAUCCCAGCAUUUGGGAGGCUGAGGCAGGAGGAUCGCUGCAAGUUUGAGAUCAGCCUGGGAUAUAGUGUACUCAAGGUCAGCCUGGACUACAUAGGAAAAGAAAGAAAGAGAGAGAGAGAGAAAGAGAGAAAGAAAGAAAUUCGAAAGAAAGAAAAUGGGGAGUGUAAGCAGCUCCCUUUGGUGCUAAGGUGAUGAGGAGUGUUGGGAAUGUUGGUCUCUGUUUGGCUGCAGCUCGAAGGACCCAGUCUUCCUGUACAGAAAGAGCAUGGCGAUUUUAAAUCCCUACACCUGACCGGGAAGUAUGAAUCAGGAGGGUGGCUGUUACCAUUUCUUUUGCAGACAAGGACACUGGAUGCGAACGGCCCGUGCUUGUAAUCCCUGCAGUCUGAGAGGCUGAGGCAGGGGAAUCGCAAGUUCAAACCCAGCCUGGGCAACUCAGUGACUGUGAGGCUGCCUCAAAAUAAGAAAUCAAAGAGGCCAGGGGUGUUGCCUGCCUCUUAAAUCAGGCAAAAUCCUGCCCCUCUUUCUGGCCUCUGCCUGCUUAUUCUAUCUAACACAUGGUGGGCAUCUUUCCUUGUCAGUUUUGUGUCUGGAUCCUGCUUUUUUAGUUUUUUGAGGCAAGGGCUCACUCCAUGCGCAGGCUACUCUUGAUCUUGUGACCCUCCUGCCUCAGUCUCCCCACUGCUGGGAUCACAGUCGGGCACCACCACGCCCAGCAAGAGCAGCUACAUUGUUAGCGGACUUGGUGACGCGUGGGGUCCAUCUGGUCACCAUGAAGGCCGAGAGCAAAGGAGACUCGGGCUCUCCCAGGCAGCCGACAGCCGGAGCUGCUGGCCGAGAGCUGUAAAUCACCUCCGAAUUUCGUCUAACGGACCCGCUUCCGUCUUCUCCCUGCUUUGCCUUUGGAUUUUUAAAACCAAUGUUUGGAUUAUCAUGAGGCAGAAUGCUAAAUGGAGAGGAAACAGAAAGUCACCCGGGGUCUCUGACCCAGCGCGGUCCCCUCUGGUCCUUGUCCAGGGCGCAUUUUCGCUGCCUUCCUGGACAGGUCUAAUUUUGCAUCCCGCCCCUUUCACUUCUCAUUUUUCAUGAGCAGUUUUCCACUCGGCUCCGCCAUCAUCAUCUUUUCCAUUUUAAUCGGCACACGAGGUUCCAAUGAGUGGAUAGUAAUCAUUACCCUAAUGCCAGGCCUUCCCCGGCUGCGAGGUUUUCCCUAUUAUAAAUACUGCCGCCGGGGAUGUUUUUAUGGACAUGGCCUCUUCCUGAAUUCGGAUUAUUUCCUGAGUUUGCCGCCCCAGAGUGAGAAGCCAACUUAAAGGCCGGGAGUAUUUUCAUGGUUCUUGGCACGAGCGGUUAUGUUGUUGUUCCAGAGGGUUUCCCUUUUUUCUUGCUUAAAAUAAAAAGAAAAGGAAAGGCAUCCUUUUUUUCUUUUCAUUUAGAAGAAAGCAAGAUUUCUACUACAGAAAUCACCACUACAACAUUUGGAUAACCAUCGCUCGAGGCAGAGAUAGAGCUAGGGAAAUAAAAAUAAUCCUCACUGCCAGCUUGGCCACCUGCUGUUUAAGGCAGCAACGUGCCCCGGUUUUCCGAUUGGUUCUGCGGGCGCCAGGGCCUGCAUGACUGCAUAAUGUGGUACAGUAAUAGCUACAGGCUGGGUACCAGGCCAGCGAUUUUAUCUCCAUUUGUUCAUUUAAGCUUUGCUAGAAGCUAGUGAGAGAGUAAUGUUACCUGCACACCCAUUCUACAGACGAGGAAACUGAUUCCAGAAAUGAACCAUGUGCCCAAAGCCACAGGGCAAGGGAGAAGAGGGACUGGCACUCAGUAGGGGUACUCUGGGUCUCUAAAACAGAUGCUUGCCAGACAUGGUGGUAAUCUGUAAUCCCAGCACUCGGGAGGCUGAGGCAGGAGGAUCACCUUGAGUUCCAGGCCAAUCUGGGCUACAUAGUGAGUUCAAGGGCAGCCUGGACAGCAUAGCAAAACCCUACCUCAAAAAGCCAAAAGCAAGCAAAACAAAACCUCCAGAUGCUUACAGAGUGGUAUGUGAAUAUGAAUACACAUAUAUACACACAUAUAUGUAUGUCUUGCCAUACUAAGAAUUAAAACCCAGAAUCUUCACAAUGAA